rnacentral:rRNA from 1 species
UACGUAGGUGGCGAGCGUUGUCCGGAUUUAUUGGGCGUAAAGGGCGCGCAGGUGGUGCGGUAAGACUGCCGUGAAAUCUCCUGGCUCAACUGGGAGGGUGCGGUGGAGACUGCCGGACUAGAGGCACUCAGAGGCCGGUGGAAUUCCCGGUGUAGUGGUGAAAUGCGUAGAGAUCGGGAGGAACACCAGUGGCGAAGGCGGCCAGCUGGGCCAGGUCCGACACUGAGGCGCGAAAAGCGUGGGGGAGCAAACAGG